GAACAACAGCAGGUGGAGCUACCAGGGCAAGAGUAACGGUUGUCACAAACAACUGGGGGCUUCACAGGAGACGGAGGAGAAGGGCCAGGAUUUGGGGGGUUCGGGCCAUUCUUUAUGGGGUAGGAUGCCUCCAUUGCGAUCCCACACUUGCCGGUAGUCGCGUUGACAUUGCGCUCCAUCUUGACGUAUCCAGACUCUCCCCAGUGUGGUCCCCAUGAGUUCCUCACAAUCCAGUAGUCCUUCCCAUUGUCUGUGCCGUAGCCCACAGCUACCACACCAUGGUCAAGAUCAGUCCCACAUCUACCAGUGAAUACUCCCGAUCUAUACAGCUGAAACGCCCUACCACCACCCUCGAUAGCAACACUAACAGGCUGGUGCGCAACCGCCGACAUGAGAGCCUUCUCGUCAUUCACCGGCACAUCCUCAUAUGAGUCGAUUGUCACAACCUUGGCAUUCUUCCUGUACACAUCACACUGGCCGUCGUCGGCCUUGUAAGGAUAAUCCUCCUCAGUAUCAAUACCCCCGUUCUUGAUGAUGAACUGAAAUCCAUAAUCCAUAAGCCCCCCAUUGCAUCCCUGAUUAUAGCUAGUGUCACAAUCCACCAACUCCUGCUCCGACAGCGAGAUCAGCUCGCCGGUCACAAUCUGGUUGAUCCCCUCCACCGCUCCCACCGUCGAGAAAGCCCAGCAGCUCCCACAGCUGCCUUGAUCCUUGACAGGGGCGACGGCGCCCUUAUCACGCCAAUCAACCGACUCCGGCAGCUUGUCGCCUCCGGCGACUCGAUACCGGUCGCUCCCGGCUCCUCUCUCGCGGCGGCCGGCGGCGCGGACACCGAGGAAGCGAGCACGGAACUCGUCGUUUGUGAUGUCUGCGAAGCGAUUGAGGCCGAGGCGGAAGGAGUGAUCGCCGGCGUUG
rnacentral:misc_RNA from 1 species